rnacentral:rRNA from 1 species
CAGUAGCCACGGGAAUACAGAGGGUGCGAGCGUUAAUCGGAUUUACUGGGCGUAAAGCGUGCGUAGGCGGCUAAUUGAGUCGGAUGUGAAAUCCCCGAGCUUAACUUGGGAAUUGCAUUCGAUACUGGUUAGCUAGAGUGUGGGAGAGGAUGGUAGAAUUCCAGGUGUAGCGGUGAAAUGCGUAGAGAUCUGGAGGAAUACCGAUGGCGAAGGCAGCCAUCUGGCCUAAUACUGACGCUGAGGUACGAAAGCAUGGGGAGCAAACAGGAUUAGAUACCCCUGUAGUCCCUGUCUCUUAUAC